rfam:Brassica rapa chromosome A7, whole genome shotgun sequence.
AGAAUAUAAGAAACCGUCUUUUAACUUUUGAAUAAAAAGCGCUAAAAAGCGGCUCCUAAAUCAGAUAUUUAAGAGCUGAUUUUUAGCUAUUUUAGUUAAAAGUAAAAAGACGGUUUCUUAUAUUCC